rnacentral:rRNA from 1 species
GGUUGACCUCGGAUCAGGUAGGGAUACCCGCUGAACUUAAGCAUAUCAAUAAGCGGAGGAAAAGAAACCAACCGGGAUUGCCCCAGUAACGGCGAGUGAAGCGGCAAGAGCUCAAAUUUGAAAUCUGGCCCCUCCGGGGUCCGAGUUGUAAUUUGCAGAGGAUGCUUCGGGUGCGGCCCCUGUCUAAGUGCCCUGGAACGGGCCGUCAGAGAGGGUGAGAAUCCCGU